AAACAAGGGCACUAGGUAUUUGAUAGCAUAGGUUCCAUAGGAUCUCAUGUCGCGUAAUGACUAAAUGAUGAAAAGAAUAUUUUUGCAAAUCAUCAGGAUUAUAUAACUUAAAUAUAUCAGUAUAUUAGUCAGGAUUGUCAAUCUGAUAGUACUGCUUGUCUAGUGAUCAAAGAAAUUUCAGGUAAAACAAGGGCACUAGGUAUUUGAUAGCAUAGGUUCCAUAGGAUCUAAUGUCAUGUAAUGACUAAAUGAUGAAAAGAAUAUUUUUUAGAUAGGUACACAUCUAUUUUAACCUUGGAUCAAACUGAAAUCUCCCAUAUCCCCAUCCCAGCACCUCCCACCUAAACUAGGCACUGGGGGCUGGACCAUGAAUAGAAUAUAAUGGAAAGGAAUCUUGUCUUACACUGCCCCUUUUUUUCCUCAACACUUUUG
rnacentral:lncRNA from 1 species